rnacentral:rRNA from 1 species
UGGGGAAUAUUGCACAAUGGGCGCAAGCCUGAUGCAGCCAUGCCGCGUGUAUGAAGAAGGCCUUCGGGUUGUAAAGUACUUUCAGCGAGGAGGAAGGCGUUGUGGUUAAUAACCGCAACGAUUGACGUUACUCGCAGAAGAAGCACCGGCUAACUCCGUGCCAGCAGCCGCGGUAAUACGGAGGGUGCAAGCGUUAAUCGGAAUUACUGGGCGUAAAGCGCACGCAGGCGGUCUGUCAAGUCGGAUGUGAAAUCCCCGGGCUCAACCUGGGAACUGCAUCCGAAACUGGCAGGCUAGAGUCUUGUAGAGGGGGGUAGAAUUCCAGGUGUAGCGGUGAAAUACGUAGAGAUCUGGAGGAAUACCGGUGGCGAAGGCGGCCCCCUGGACAAAGACUGACGCUCAGGUGCGAAAGCGUGGGGAGCAAACA